AAUCAACGCUGGCGGCGUGCCUCAGACAUGCAAGUCGAACGCGAAAGUUUCCUUCGGGGAACAAGUAGAGUGGCGCACGGGUGAGUAACACGUAGGUAAUCUACCUUUGGAUGGGGAAUAACAACCGGAAACGGUUGCUAAUACCGCAUAAUGCAGCGGCACCUAAAUGGUGACAGUUGUUAAAGCGGGGGGAUCGAAAGACCUCGCGUCUGAAGAGGAGCCUGCGGCGGAUUAGCUAGNGGUAAGGUAAUGGCUUACCAAGGCGACGAUCCGUAACCGGCCUGAGAGGGCGGUCGGUCACACUGACACUGACAUACGGGUCAGACUCUACGGGAGCAGCAGUCGGAAUUUUGGGCAUGGGCGAAAGCCUGACCCAGCAACGCCGCGUGAAGGA
rnacentral:rRNA from 1 species